rnacentral:rRNA from 1 species
GAGUUUGAUCCUGGCUCAGGACGAACGCUGGCGGCGCGCCUAACACAUGCAAGUCGAACGGAGUCAAGAGGAGCUUGCUUUUCUUGACUUAGUGGCGAACGGGUGAGUAACGCGUGAGUAACCUGCCCUGGAGUGGGGGACAACAGUUGGAAACGACUGCUAAUACCGCAUAAGCCCACGGAUUCGCAUGGAUCUGCGGGAAAAGGAUUUAUUCGCUUCAGGAUGGACUCGCGUCCAAUUAGCUAGUUGGUGAGGUAACGGCCCACCAAGGCGACGAUUGGUAGCCGGACUGAGAGGUUGAACGGCCACAUUGGGACUGAGACACGGCCCAGACUCCUACGGGAGGCAGCAGUGGGGAAUAUUGCACAAUGGGGGAAACCCUGAUGCAGCGACGCCGCGUGGAGGAAGAAGGUUUUCGGAUUGUAAACUCCUGUCGUUAGGGACGAUAAUGACGGUACCUAACAAGAAAGCACCGGCUAACUACGUGCCAGCCGCCGCGGUAAUUC